AACAAACGCUGGCGGCGUGCCUAAUACAUGCAAGUCGAACGGGGAAAGUAGCAAUAUGAGUACUAGUGGCGCACGGGUGAGUAACACGUGGGUAAUCUGCCUCAAAGCGUGGGAUAACCAGUCGAAAGAUUGGCUAAUACCGCAUAAGACCACAGGAUCUGCGGAUCCAGAGGUCAAAGGUUUUUCGCUUUGAGAUGAGCCCGCGCAGGAUUAGCUAGUUGGUAGGGUAAUGGCCUACCAAGGCAACGAUCCUUAGCUGGUCUGAGAGGAUGAUCAGCCACACUGGAACUGAGACACGGUCCAGACUCCUACGGGAGGCAGCAGUAGGGAAUUUUGCGCAAUGGAGGAAACUCUGACGCAGCGACGCCGCGUGAGUGACGAAGGACUUCGGUUCGUAAAGCUCUGUUGCAAGGGAAAAAGAAAGUGAUUGUACCUUGUGAGGAAGGGUCGGCUAACUUCGUG
rnacentral:rRNA from 1 species